AAAGUCGUAACAAGGUUUCCGUAGGUGAACCUGCGGAAGGAUCAUUACUGAGUCCAAGAGGGGGAGGCCAUGGAUGCUGGAUGCUGGGGAUGAGUCGCUCUCUUCCCCUCGUCUCCCAACCUCCCUCUCUCACACACACAAUCUCAUUGUGAAAAGUUGGCGAAAACAACAUGCCAAAGAACACAACCGCCUCUUGUACCAUCGCCUGCCAAAACACACGUGUGUAUGGCCAUAGGUGGGUGAUGGUGGGGGUGGGAAAAAGAAGCAUAGCCUAGCCUGUGCUGCUGUUGGCAUACCUUCUCUCUCUCUCUUGCUUUUGAAAUCUAUAACCUUUGCAUCAUCAUAUUGGUAUCCUUGACUGAGAAAAAAGUGGUGGUCACUUCCACUGCGACAAAAACACAAUAACAAACAUGUUACAACUUUUAACAACGGAUAUCUUGGCUCGC
rnacentral:misc_RNA from 1 species